UCCCCAGAGUCCUAACAAUGA
rnacentral:miRNA from 1 species